CCUACGGGAGGCAGCAGUGGGGAAUAUUGCACAAUGGGGGAAACCCUGAUGCAGCAACGCCGCGUGAGUGAAGAAGUAUUUCGGUAUGUAAAGCUCUAUCAGCAGGGAAGAAGAAAGACGGUACCUGACUAAGAAGCCCCGGCUAACUACGUGCCAGCAGCCGCGGGAAUACGGAGGGGGCAAGCGUUAUUCGGAUUUACUGGGUGUAAAGGGAGCGUAGAGGGCUGUGCAAGUCCGGAGUGAAAGCCCGUGGCUCAACCGCGGAACUGCUUUUGAAACUGUAUAGCUUGAGUACAAGAGAGGCAGGCGGAAUGCGUGGUGUAGCGGUGAAAUGCGUAGAUAUUAGGAAGAACACCGAUGGCGAAGGCGGCAUGCUGGAUAGAAACUGACGUUGAGGCUCGAAAGCGUGGGGAGCAAACAGGAUUAGAUACCCCUGUAGUC
rnacentral:rRNA from 1 species